rnacentral:misc_RNA from 1 species
CCGAGUUUACAACUCCCAAACCCAUGUGAACCUUACCUAUCGUUGCUUCGGCGGAUCGCCCCGGGCGCCUUGUGUGCCCCGGAUCCAGGCGCCCGCCGAGGGACCUUAACUCUUGUAUUAUUGAGAAUUUUCUGAGUAUUAGAUUUAAUAAUCA